rnacentral:rRNA from 1 species
UACGAAGGGUCCAAGCGUUAUCCGGAUUUAUUGGGUUUAAAGGGUGCGUAGGCGGCUUAUUAAGUCAGUGGUGAAAGCCUGUAGCUCAACUACAGAACUGCCAUUGAUACUGAUGAGCUUGAAUAUACUUGAGGUUGGCUGGAAUGGAUGUCAUGUAGCGGUGAAAUGCGUUAGAAUAUGACACAGAACACCAUUGACGAAGGCAGUAGCUAAAGUACAAUUACGCUAGAUGACAUCGAAAGCGUUG